UACGUAGGGGGCAAGCGUUGUCCGGAAUUAUUGGGCGUAAAGAGCUCGUAGGCGGUUUGGCGCGUCUGCUGUGAAAACCCGAGGCUCAACCUCGGGCCUGCAGUGGGUACGGGCAGACUAGAGUGCGGUAGGGGAGAUUGGAAUUCCUGGUGUAGCGGUGGAAUGCGCAGAUAUCAGGAGGAACACCGAUGGCGAAGGCAGAUCUCUGGGCCGUAACUGACGCUGAGGAGCGAAAGCAUGGGUAGCGAACAGG
rnacentral:rRNA from 1 species